UGUUCUCAUCACUAUCAUUGUGGUCAUCAUUGUAAUCGUUGUCGUCGUCGUUGUUGUCGUUGUUGUUAUUGUUUUUGUUGUUGUUCUUGUUGUUAUUGUUGUUGUUGUUGUUGUUGUUGUUGUCAUCGCCGUCGUCAUCGUCGUUGUGUUUGUUCUUAUUGUUGUCGUUGGUAUCGCUUUUUUCACUAUUGUCGCCGUUGUUGUUGUUGUUGUCAUUGUUGUUGUUGUUCUCGUCAUUAUCUUUN
rnacentral:lncRNA from 1 species